CCUACGGUGGCAGCAGUGGGGAAUAUUGGACAAUGGGCGAAAGCCUGAUCCAGCCAUGCCGCGUGUGUGAAGAAGGCCUUCGGGUUGUAAAGCACUUUCAGUGGGGAAGAAAGCCUUGGGGCUAAUACCCUCGAGGAAGGACAUCACCCACAGAAGAAGCACCGGCUAACUCCGUGCCAGCAGCCGCGGUAAUACGGAGGGUGCGAGCGUUAAUCGGAAUUACUGGGCGUAAAGCGCGCGUAGGCGGUCUGAUAAGCCGGUUGUGAAAGCCCCGGGCUCAACCUGGGAACGGCAUCCGGAACUGUCAGGCUAGAGUGCAGGAGAGGAAGGUAGAAUUCCCGGUGUAGCGGUGAAAUGCGUAGAGAUCGGGAGGAAUACCAGUGGCGAAGGCGGCCUUCUGGACUGACACUGACGCUGAGGUGCGAAAGCGUGGGUAGCAAACAGGAUUAGAUACCCUGGUAGUC
rnacentral:rRNA from 1 species